rnacentral:lncRNA from 1 species
CACUUCACCAUGUCAUACCCAUUUUGUGUAAUUUUGAAUAAUUCCAUCACAACCACAAUGAUAGAAUAUCACAUCCCUCGAAUGUUUUUUCGUAUUAAAGCAGUUUUUAUAAGGACACCAAAAAAUCCAUUAUUUUUAGGAAUAUUUUUUCAGCGAAAUCCAAAAAUUGUAUCACUCCAUUCUCAUACUAUUUACUUAAUAUAUUGGUUUU